rnacentral:rRNA from 1 species
AUGCUGGCCGCCGGUGACGAAGAGCACGGCCUGCUCCACCAUCCUCAAGGUGUCUUGCAUCUCGAGCAGCUCUACCAGCACGUCGUCGACCGCGUCGAUGGUCUGCUGCAGCCUCAGCGCCACCUCCGGCAUGAGCGGCCCGGCCCCGGGUCGCACCCGCGACGCGGGCAUGAUCCCGCAGAGACGGACGGCGAAGUCAGCCGCGAGGCUCCUGUCGACGGCGAAGUUCAGCCUCUGCAGCGCCCUCCUUGCCAGGACGUCGGCCUGGUAGUGGUUAACGAACCAGAGAAUGUACGCGGUUCGGCCGCCGGGGAGGGCAUAGAGACCGAGAGUCGCGACGUAGGCCCAGAAGUGGUACGCGUUACCGGCGUGGGCGACGUGGACGAGGUACCUGAGCUCGCGACUGGCCUCCUGGAGUGGCCCGCCCUCCGGCGGCGGGUUGUAGAAGUUGGCGUGGACGAGGGCCCUGGCGGCGUCGGUGACGGCCGCGAGCGGCCCGGGCCAGUUGAAGAGGGUGUCGACGAUGUUGGCGGCGGGCCCGAUGAGGAGCGGAUUCAUGCCGCGAGACACGUCCUCGAGCAAGUCGGUGUAGAUGGUCUCCGCUGCUUCGAUGGGCUCCUGUUCCAGGAGGAGCACCGCCGAGACCUCGCGGAGCGUCACGCGGGCUCUCCGGCAGCGGGGGAUGAUGUAGUUCUCCAGCUCGGUGGCGACGCGGCGCCUGUAGUGCGCCGCCCACUGCAGCCUCCUCGCCAUCCACUGCGCCAUCCACUGCGCCAUCCACUGCGGAUCCGGAGCGGGAACCUCCUGCACCCCCUCCUCCUCCUCCAUCAACGGCGGCGGCUGCAUCCCCUCCUCCUCGUCCACCAGCGGCGGCGGCUGCACCACCACCUCCUCCUCCUCUACCACCAUCGGCGGUGGCUGCACCGCCACCUCCUCCUCCACCACCACGACCGGCGGCGGCUGCACCACCACCUCCUCCUCCACCACCACCACGACCGGCGGCGGCUGGACCACCUCCUCCUCGUCGACCACCAGGACCGGCGGCGGCGGCAUCACCACCCCGUCCUCUUCCAUCUCUCUCUCUCUCUUGCGGCGUGUGUUGUGUUGCGUGGGAUAUUCCGCGGGUGA